rnacentral:rRNA from 1 species
AUCCUGGCUCAGGACGAACGCUGGCGGCGUGCUUAACACAUGCAAGUCGAACGAUGAAGCCCUUCGGGGUGGAUUAGUGGCGAACGGGUGAGUAACACGUGGGCAAUCUGCCCUUCACUCUGGGACAAGCCCUGGAAACGGGGUCUAAUACCGGAUAAUACUUUUCCUCUCCUGAGGAAAGGUUGAAAGCUCCGGCGGUGAAGGAUGAGCCCGCGGCCUAUCAGCUAGUUGGUGGGGUAAUGGCCUACCAAGGCGACGACGGGUAGCCGGCCUGAGAGGGCGACCGGCCACACUGGGACUGAGACACGGCCCAGACUCCUACGGGAGGCAGCAGUGGGGAAUAUUGCACAAUGGGCGAAAGCCUGAUGCAGCGACGCCGCGUGAGGGAUGACGGCCAUCGGGUUGUAAACCUUCUUUCAGCAGGGAAGAAGCGAAAAGUGACGGUACCUGCAGAAGAAGCGCCGGCUA